rnacentral:rRNA from 1 species
CCUACGGGGGGCUGCAGUGGGGAAUAUUGGACAAUGGGGGCAACCCUGAUCCAGCCAUGCCGCGUGUGUGAAGAAGGCCCUCGGGUUGUAAAGCACUUUCAGUGAGGAAGAACGCCUGGUGGUUAAUACCCAUCAGGAAAGACAUCACUCACAGAAGAAGCACCGGCUAACUCCGUGCCAGCAGCCGCGGUAAUACGGAGGGUGUGAGCGUUAAUCGGAAUUACUGGGCGUAAAGCGCGCGUAGGUGGCUUGAUAAGCCGGUUGUGAAAGCCCCGGGCUCAACCUGGGAACGGCAUCCGGAACUGUCAAGCUAGAGUGCAGGAGAGGAAGGUAGAAUUCCCGGUGUAGCGGUGAAAUGCGUAGAGAUCGGGAGGAAUACCAGUGGCGAAGGCGGCCUUCUGGACUGACACUGACACUGAGGUGCGAAAGCGUGGGUAGCAAACAGGAUUAGAUACCCCUGUAGUC